rnacentral:rRNA from 1 species
UACGUAGGGGGCAAGCGUUGUCCGGAAUUAUUGGGCGUAAAGCGCGCGCAGGCGGUCUCUUAAGUCUGAUGUGAAAUCCCGUGGCUUAACCACGGGCGGUCAUUGGAAACUGGGGGACUUGAGUGCAGAAGAGAAGAGCGGAAUUCCACGUGUAGCGGUGAAAUGCGUAGAUAUCGGGAGGAACACCAGUGGCGAAGGCGACUACCUGGCCUGUUCUUGACGCUGAGGCGCGAAAGCUAGGGGAGCAAACGGGG